UGUCCCUACGGGGGGCAGCAGUGGGGGAUAUUGCACAAUGGGGGGAACCCUGAUGCAGCGACGCCGCGUGGGUGAAGAAGUAUUUCGGUAUGUAAAGCCCUAUCGGCAGGGAAGAAAUUGGACGGUACCUGACUAAGAAGCCCUGGCUAACUACGUGCCAGCAGCCGCGGUAAUACGUAGGGGGCAAGCGUUAUCCGGAUUUACUGGGUGUAAAGGGAGCGUAGACGGCGAUGCAAGUCUGAAGUGAAAGGCGGGGGCCCAACCCCCGGACUGCUUUGGAAACUGUAUUGCUGG
rnacentral:rRNA from 1 species